AGAGUUUGAUCCUGGCUCAGGACGAACGCUGGCGGCGUGCCUAAUACAUGCAAGUAGAACGCUGAAGGAGGAGCUUGCUUCUCUGGAUGAGUUGCGAACGGGUGAGUAACGCGUAGGUAACCUGCCUGGUAGCGGGGGAUAACUAUUGGAAACGAUAGCUAAUACCGCAUAAGAGUGGAUGUUGCAUGACAUUUGCUUAAAAGGUGCACUUGCAUCACUACCAGAUGGACCUGCGUUGUAUUAGCUAGUUGGUGGGGUAACGGCUCACCAAGGCGACGAUACAUAGCCGACCUGAGAGGGUGAUCGGCCACACUGGGACUGAGACACGGCCCAGACUCCUACGGGAGGCAGCAGUAGGGAAUCUUCGGCAAUGGACGGAAGUCUGACCGAGCAACGCCGCGUGAGUGAAGAAGGUUUUCGGAUCGUAAAGCUCUGUUGUAAGAGAAGAACGAGUGUGAGAGUGGAAAGUUCACACUGUGACGGUAUCUUACCAGAAAGGGACGGCUAACUACGUGCCAGCAGCCGCGGUAAUACGUAGGUCCCGAGCGUUGUCCGGAUUUAUUGGGCGUAAAGCGAGCGCAGGCGGUUAGAUAAGUCUGAAGUUAAAGGCUGUGGCUUAACCAUAGUAGGCUUUGGAAACUGUUUAACUUGAGUGCAAGAGGGGAGAGUGGAAUUCCAUGUGUAGCGGUGAAAUGCGUAGAUAUAUGGAGGAACACCGGUGGCGAAAGCGGCUCUCUGGCUUGUAACUGACGCUGAGGCUCGAAAGCGUGGGGAGCAAACAGGAUUAAGUACCCUGGUAGUCCACGCUGUAAACGAUGAGUGCUAGGUGUUAGACCCUUUCCGGGGUUUAGUGCCGUAGCUAACGCAUUAAGCACUCCGCCUGGGGAGUACGACCGCAAGGUUGAAACUCAAAGGAAUUGACGGGGGCCCGCACAAGCGGUGGAGCAUGUGGUUUAAUUCGAAGCAACGCGAAGAACCUUACCAGGUCUUGACAUCCCUCUGACCGCUCUAGAGAUAGAGCUUUCCUUCGGGACAGAGGUGACAGGUGGUGCAUGGUUGUCGUCAGCUCGUGUCGUGAGAUGUUGGGUUAAGUCCCGCAACGAGCGCAACCCCUAUUGUUAGUUGCCAUCAUUUAGUUGGGCACUCUAGCGAGACUGCCGGUAAUAAACCGGAGGAAGGUGGGGAUGACGUCAAAUCAUCAUGCCCCUUAUGACCUGGGCUACACACGUGCUACAAUGGCUGGUACAACGAGUCGCAAGCCGGUGACGGCAAGCUAAUCUCUUAAAGCCAGUCUCAGUUCGGAUUGUAGGCUGCAACUCGCCUACAUGAAGUCGGAAUCGCUAGUAAUCGCGGAUCAGCACGCCGCGGUGAAUACGUUCCCGGGCCUUGUACACACCGCCCGUCACACCACGAGAGUUUGUAACACCCGAAGUCGGUGAGGUAACCGUAAGGAGCCAGCCGCCUAAGGUGGGAUAGAUGAUUGGGGUGAAGUCGUAACAAGGUAGCCGUAUCGGAAGGUGCGGCUGGAUUAACU
rnacentral:rRNA from 1 species